rnacentral:tRNA from 1 species
UGGGGUUGGGCUCAGUGGUAGAGCACUUAUCUCGCAUGCAUGGGACACUGGGUUCAAUCCUCAGCACCAUAU